UUUGAAACUAACAGCAGUGUAAGCGUGCUCAUCAGAUCAGUUCAUUAAAUUUUACAUUUUAGCUUUUAAAGUCACUUAACAGUAAAUGUCUGUCUUCUCCAGAAUAGAUUAUUCAUCAAUAUUAAUAAAUAUCCCCUACCCCAUGCUUAUCUAAUGCCUGGUAGUGUAUGAUAGCUCAGCCAUCAGAUGGUAGCAUGUGUACUAGUAUCCUAGUGAAGUUCUAAAAUUUAUUUAAAAUGGUGGUUAUAUAUUAAUAGAAGCUCUCUUUGCUAGUAAACCUCCUGGUCAUGGGCCAACUGUCUGGUCUGCUGAUGAAAAUAUAUUUUAGUUUUAAACCCCCUUCUCUCUCCCUUUUUCCAUGUACUUUUUCAUAAAAAAAAAAUAGAAAAGGCUAUGUAGAUGGCAGACUGGAAACUGUUUGAUGUAAAAAAAAACAAGAACCAUUUUUGUUACUCUUUUUUAUCAGGCCCAAUUUUAAAUAAUAUUUUAUUUUAAAAUAUUUCUUCACUACUAAUAGGUCCUAAUACUGUCAGUGGUUUCAUCAAGGCCAUGCACCAGGCCUAUUGACCAGAUGUGAGAAAUAUUUUGACCAUCUGCAGGAAAUUUCUCCUUUUUAAGAAGUUCAGUUCAGAAGGUUCUGCCUGCCUAUGAAAACCAGUUGUCUUCUAGCUGAAAACCUUAAUGAAAUCCUUUUAUCUUUCACCCCAAAAAAGCAACCACAAAAUUACUAACCCAAGAAAAAUCCUUAGAUUUCAAAUUUAAAACCCAACAAAGGGCUUCACACUAUGAGGGAAUGGACUUCCUUGUAGUCAGAGUAAUAUUGUUAAUUCAGAUUUUAUUGAUAAUAAGUACAGUCCCAGAAAAUAUCGAUACUCCCCACACAGAAGGGAUUGGAAUUUCCUGGGGGUGGGAUCUGUAAGACCAUAAAAUUGAAGAAAUCUAUGAAGCUUAAUUGAAAUUUCCAGAGGGGUGGGGGGACCUACACAUUUUAAAUCUUGCUGUUUCUCCUUUGUAUGAGAACACGCAAUCAUGAACAAGUACUUGAUAUCACUUGUCUUGAUUUAUAACAAUUUUCUCUUUUAUGCAACCACACUAACAUUACGUACUUAACUUUCCAGUUCCUAUGAUGAUGUGUACUUCCUCAGUGCUGCCAUGCAUUGUGGACCUGGUACCAUCCUAGUGUCGUCAGACAUGUUUGCUGACCACAUCCAUAGCAUGGAUUUAGUUAUGAGAGCCCAGUUUAAGCGAUGGCAACAGCACUACCAGUGGAAGAUGGAAGGAUUUGAUCAGGACAAGCCAAUAUUUGCAAAUGUGAAAAAUUUUGACACUCCUGCUCACGUUCAAACUACAGGAGACACAUGGCACUUUCCAUCCAGUGACGGCUUAAGGUGGCUCUGUGCCAGAAAGGCAGGAAUAGUCAAGAAUCCAAAAGAACUGGUGCAUUUUUAAUUUGAUGGAGGUGCAAGCUACUUGUGUGUUUCUACAAGGAGGCUGCAAAAUAUUGUCAAUAAGUAAUUAACCUUUUGCAAUUAAAAACACCUUGUUUUAGAUUGUUGGGGUGAUGAGAGGAAUGACUUGUUGACUGGCCUCUUACAGUACUUUCUUGAGUUUGAUAAUUUGCUUUGAUUCUCAUGGGAUGUAACAGGGGUCUUGAAUGACUGAAAAACUAUGGAGGGGGGGCAGUGUGAUGGGGUAAAUGUUUUAAUAUAUAAUGAUGUUAGAGCAACCUGACAAAACGCCUUGGGGUAAGCCUUAUGUGGAGUAGCAUUACAUUUUGUGUGUAGCAACAUAAUUAGUCACUUCAUAACAUGGUGGACUUCAAGAUGGGCAUUUAAUUAACAUACCGAAAGUGAAAACAAAGCGAACUUCAUCUAGUGCAAACUUGUUAAGAAAUACAGCAUCUUUAUUGAUCACUGGAAUAUACAUUAAGAAAUCGAAAUUUAAAACAGCAACAAAUUUAUUAAUAACACUUUCUGACUACCCUUAAACCUAAUAAAUAAUGAUUGAGGAGCUGCUGGCAAGACCAAUGGAAGUUAGAGUUUAAAUAAUAUUCAAAGGCUAGUCUAACAUAUUUACAAAUGAGCAUUCAAUUAUGAACUGUAUAAAGAUUUAAUUAGUAUCUUAUAUAUUAAAAAUAUUUUUCCUAUGACAAUGGUAGGACUUGCCUGCAGACCAUCAAUUCCAUCUGACUUCAAUAGUCCUUUAAGCCCUCACUUCAACUUAGAGGAUUCCUGUUCGAAGUCCUUAAUUUCUUCAUCAAGAGAAUAAUUUUGAUGAUAAUCAAGGUAAUUUCUUGAAUCGAUUCCUUAUUCUCGCUUAUAAGCACAGUCAAGGCCAAACAAGAAACAAUAAAACAAGCAUUUCCCCUCAUACACUGCUAAAGAUCUGGUACUCUCAUCUUCCAACCCCCCCCCCCCCCCCC